GCGCCGAUGGUGUAGUGGUAGCAUCACAGCCUUCCAAGCUGUUAGCACGGGUUCGAAUCCCGUUCGGCGCA
rnacentral:tRNA from 1 species